UGGACGACGAGUGACUCUGCG
rnacentral:misc_RNA from 1 species